UCAUGGCUCAGGACGAACGCUGGCGGCGUGCCUAAUACAUGCAAGUCGAACGCGUCUCCGUUAAUGAUUUUAGGUGCUUGCACUUGAAAGAUUUAACAUUGAGACGAGUGGCGAACUGGUGAGUAACACGUGGGUAACCUGCCCUUGAAGUAGGGGAUAACACUUGGAAACAGGUGCUAAUACCGUAUAACAACCAAAACCACCUGGUUUUGGUUUAAAAGACGGCUUCGGCUGUCACUUUAGGAUGGACCCGCGGCGUAUUAGCUUGUUGGUAAGGUAACGGCCUACCAAGGCGAUGAUACGUAGCCGACCUGAGAGGGUAAUCGGCCACAUUGGGACUGAGACACGGCCCAAACUCCUACGGGAGGCAGCAGUAGGGAAUCUUCCACAAUGGACGAAAGUCUGAUGGAGCAACGCCGCGUGAGUGAUGAAGGGUUUCGGCUCGUAAAACUCUGUUGUUGGAGAAGAACAGGUGUCAGAGUAACUGUUGACAUCUUGACGGUAUCCAACCAGAAAGCCACGGCUAACUACGUGCCAGCAGCCGCGGUAAUACGUAGGUGGCAAGCGUUGUCCGGAUUUAUUGGGCGUAAAGCGAGCGCAGGCGGUUUUUUAGGUCUGAUGUGAAAGCCUUCGGCUUAACCGGAGAAGUGCAUCGGAAACCGGGAGACUUGAGUGCAGAAGAGGACAGUGGAACUCCAUGUGUAGCGGUGAAAUGCGUAGAUAUAUGGAAGAACACCAGUGGCGAAGGCGGCUGUCUGGUCUGUAACUGACGCUGAG
rnacentral:rRNA from 1 species